rnacentral:lncRNA from 10 species
ACACUGCAGGGACCUAACUAACGAACGACUCCGCUAGCCCGUUCCAAACCGGCCACUCUCCAAAAACCAUUAAUUGGGGAAUGUGGCCGGGCGCGUGGUUCACGUCUGUGAUCCCAGCUCUUUGGGAGUCCGAGCCGGGAGGACCGCUUGAGGCCAGGAAUUGGAGACCAGCCUGGGGAUCAUAGGGAAACCCCUUCUGUACCAAAAAAUUUAAAAACUUUUUUGUGCCUGUAGUCCUUGCUACUCGGGAGGCUGACGUGGGACGGUCGCUUGAGCCUGGGCAGUCGAGGCUGCAGUGAGCGGUGUUCGUGUCACUGCACUCCAGUCUGUGUGACAGAGCGAGACCCUAUUUCUUUCUUUUUUUAUUUUUUGAGACGGAGUUUCGCUCUUGUCACCCAGGCUGGAGUUCAGUGACGCCAUCUCUGCUCACUGCAACCUGGGCCUCCUAGGUUCAAGCGAUUCUCCUGCCUCAGCCUCCCGAGUAGCUGGGAUUACAGGCGCCCGCCACCACGCCCAGCUAAUUUUUGUAUUUUUAGUAGAGACAGGGUUUCACCAUGUUGGCCAGGCUGGUCUUGAACUCCUAACCUCAGGUAAUCCACCAACCUUGGCCUCCCAAAGUGCUGGGAUUACAGGCGUGAGCCACUGCACCUGGCCACGG